CGCAGUCUGGUCCGUAGUGGUUUUCAGGACAAAUUAAAAGGAUAUUUUCAUCACAGUGAAGAUAACGAACAGUGGUCAUUUUAUAAAUCCAACAAAGAAUACAAAAUCAAGAGUUGGGCAAACGCAAACCCCUGUACAUUACAAAAGGUGGGAUCAGGUGCCUAGGAGAAGUAAACAUCCCCUGUCGACCGGAUACACCUGCCUUGAGCCCUCUUGUUGAGUUCAACAGACCACGACUGGUUAAUCCUAUCAUUGGUCAGAGAGAAGGUAUUAAUGUCUUCAUCGCAUCCAAGAUUGGCAUUAAAAGAUCCGUUGGUAGACGACUGCUGAGCUUCUUUACACACAAAUGAUGGCGAG